rnacentral:lncRNA from 1 species
GUCUUUUUGAUUUGUAUGGCCCCACAAAAAAGUGGUAUGGGCAUUAUUGUUUUACCCAUGUCUGUCAUUCCAUCAUUGGCUAGCAUCAAAGUUUUUAACAUGUAAUAUUCCCUUUAGGCCAAAAAAAAAUAUAUGUCUGUUUCCUGCUUCCAAGGCAAAUAAAUCAGGGGUCGGUAGGUCGGUUUUUUUUUUUUUUUUUUUUUUUUUUUUUUUUUUAUUUUUGCACUCCCUGUCAGAUUUGCAGUCGGUUAAAUGUCAUAUUUGGUUAGGGUCCUGUACCCCAAAAUGAUUUAAUCCCUUUAAAGAAGCUUUAAUUUAAUAAUCCUCCCAGUGCUGACAUUUAUUAAACCUUAAUUGUAGCACAUUUGUGCUGG